UACGUAGGGGUGCAAGCGUUUGUCCGGAAUUUAUUGGGCGAAAGAGCUCGUAGGCGGCUCUGUCGCGUCGGCUGUGAAAUCCCGAGGCUCAACCUCGGGUCUGCAGUCGAUACGGGGCAAACUAGAGUAUUGCAGGGGAGAAUGGAAUUCCUGGUGUAGCGGUAGAAAUGCGUAGAUAUCAAGGAGGAACACCGGUGGCGAAGGCGGGUCUCUGGGCCGAUACUGACGCUGGAGGAGCGAAAGCGUGGGGAGCAAACAG
rnacentral:rRNA from 1 species